rnacentral:rRNA from 1 species
UACGUAGGAGACGAGCGUUGUCCGGAAUCACUGGGCGUAAAGCGCGUGUAGGCGGGUCCGCAAGUCUGCUGUGAAAACUCCUGGCUUAACCGGGAGAGGUCGGUGGAAACUGCGAACCUGGAGGACGGUAGAGGCUGGUGGAAUUCCCGGUGUAGCGGUGGAAUGCGUAGAGAUCGGGAAGAACAUCAGUGGCGAAGGCGGUCUGCUGGGCCGUUGCUGACGCUGAGGCGCGACAGCGUGGGGGAGCAAACAGG